rnacentral:lncRNA from 1 species
AAAAUUAAUUAAAUAAAUAAAUAAAAGAAAAAAUCUUGGACUUGGACCUCUCUUAGUUGAGCCCACAAAGUCAUAAAAAUCAGGUUAUAAAAGAGGGAGAACAGACAAAAAAAGGAAGAGAAGCAAAACACUAUGAGGUUUCCCUAGACAAAACCUGGAGAGAAACCUAGACAGAGAGAGUGAGAAUUAAUCUGCAGCAACCUCCAGGAAACUCUGAAAGGUUCAUUCUGACUCACACACUUUCAGCUCAAGCAAAC